GACGAACGCUGGCGGCGUGCUUAACACAUGCAAGUCGUACGGUAAGGCCCUUUCGGGGGUACACGAGUGGCGAACGGGUGAGUAACACGUGAGUAACCUGCCCACAACUUUGGGAUAACGCUAGGAAACUGGUGCUAAUACUGGAUAUGUGCUCCUGCUGCAUGGUGGGGGUUGGAAAGCUCCGGCGGUUGUGGAUGGACUCGCGGCCUAUCAGCUUGUUGGUGGGGUAGUGGCCUACCAAGGCGGCGACGGGUAGCCGGCCUGAGAGGGUGACCGGCCACAUUGGGACUGAGAUACGGCCCAGACUCCUACGGGAGGCAACAGUGGGGAAUAUUGCACAAUGGGCGCAAGGCUGAUGCAGCAACGCCGCGUGCGGGAUGACGGGCUUCGGGUUGUAAACCGCUUUCAGCAGGGACGAAGCUUUUUGUGACGGUACCUUCAGAAGAAGCACCGGCUAACUACGUG
rnacentral:rRNA from 1 species